UACGUAGGGUGCGAGCGUUGUCCGGAAUUAUUGGGCGUAAAGGGCUCGUAGGCGGUUUGUCGCGUCGGGAGUGAAAACUCAGGGCUUAACCCUGAGCCUGCUUCCGAUACGGGCAGACUAGAGGUAUGCAGGGGAGAACGGAAUUCCUGGUGUAGCGGUGAAAUGCGCAGAUAUCAGGAGGAACACCGGUGGCGAAGGCGGGUCUCUGGGCCGAUACUGACGCUGAGGCGCGAAAGCCAGGGGAGCGAACGGG
rnacentral:rRNA from 1 species